rnacentral:rRNA from 1 species
GACGAACGCUGGCGGCGUGCUUAACACAUGCAAGUCGAACGGUGAACCUCUUCGGAGGGGAUCAGUGGCGAACGGGUGAGUAACACGUGGGCAACCUGCCCCCGGCUCUGGGAUAACUCCAAGAAAUUGGGGCUAAUACCGGAUGUUCACCGCUUCCCGCAUGGGUGGUGGUGGAAAGGGUUUCCGGCUGGGGAUGGGCCCGCGGCCUAUCAGCUUGUUGGUGGGGUAGUGGCCUACCAAGGCGACGACGGGUAGCCGGCCUGAGAGGGUGACCGGCCACACUGGGACUGGGACACGGCCCAGACUCCUACGGGAGGCAGGGGUGGGGAAUAUUGCGCAAUGGGCGGAGGCCGGACGCAGCGACGCCGCGUGGGGGAUGACGGCCUUCGGGUUGUAAACCUCUUUCAGCAGGGACGAAGCGCAAGUGACGGUACCUGCAGAAGAAGCACCGGCAAACUACGU